AAGUGUGUGUCUAGUGAACUCAGCGUGUCUGCUGGUCUAAGUGUGUGUUUAGUGAACUCAGUGUGUCUGCUGGUCUAAAUGUGUGUCUCGUGAACUCAGUGUGUCUGCUGGUCUAAGUGUGUGUCUCGUGAACUCAGCGUGUCUGCUGUCGCCUCUGACUGUGCAGAACAUCCCCACACUGGGCACGGUGGCCAUCACGAUGGCGCUGCACAACUGCGACGAGGUGGACGUCGCUGGCUUUGGCUACGAUAUGAGCAACCUGAGCGCUCCGUUGCACUACUACGAGAGCACCAAGAUGUCGGCCAUCAAGGAGUCGUGGACUCACAACAUCGCGAGGGAGAAGGACUUCCUGCGGAAGCUCGUGCGGGGCAGAGUCAUCAGGGACCUGACGGGAGGCAUCUGACCCCGGGGGGCUGUGGGGGGGCGGGGGGGGGUCGAGGCGAGGAGCCAUCGCAGGAGCUGACUUGGCGACCAUGGACCUCCUCUUCACUCAACCUGCGAUGUAAAAUAAGCUGAAAGCAAAACAAGUAGCAAAAUACUUUAAAGAGCCAGCAAAAAAAAACGUCGCUAACUUUUGUUUCGCGUUCGUAACUGCGACAAGUGCCAAAUUUUUCUUGGCGACCCAGGUUGCGCAAUGACAGCGGCGGCAAGAGGCGGAGUGGUAGGGGCAGGCGUUUAAAGGUAUUUGGGAGAACGUAAACAGGCAGUCGCAAGCUCAUGUUUGUUUGACACUGAUGUAUGCAGCGGGCGGGCGCUGCGGUCCCCCCCCCCCUCUCUUCGUUUGCCGCUAUGGGGAAAGGAAAUGGUUCUGCACUCCAUCUCCACGUACUGUGAACGAAAAACAAAUCGGCAAAAAGCGACUCGCGCACGACGCUCGGACUGAGGAAACUUCAAAUCAAAAUGACAACAAAACAAAAACACCCCCCGCUACGUACGUGAGUGUUGAGCAUAUCACGUCGCGCGCGCGCAUUGGCGCGCUCCCAAUGCGCAGCGGCGGCGAGCGGUGCCAAACCCCGGCACACGCGGUGCCAAACCCCGGCACGCGCGGUGCCAAACCCCGGCACGCGCGGUGCCACCCGUGGCCCUCCCCCGCCCGACCGACCGACCGCCCACCCGUCCGGCCAUCAAGCGCACGCGCUCCCGGACGCGUCGGACUGGCGGCCCCGGCGAAGAGGAGCCGAGAGAGGAACCGAGAUGUCGACGGAAGAGCGCCGUGGGGAGCCCGGCGUGAAUCUGCGCCGCGUGAUGACGGACCCCGACGGUGACGACGACGGUGAUGGCGGCGCUAAAUCAGUGUUACUUUGUGUUCUCGAUUAACAAUCGCACUCUGGGUUUCUUCGGCCAGGAGGCGGCACUGACGUUCCCUUGUAUGGUGAGGGCGACGCUGCCAUGGGAUCGACCCGCUGGUCCUGCUGGAAUGUACAAUUGUAGCGCUUUUAAAAAUAUUAGUAUUAUUUUUUUAAAUGUUAAGUUUAAACUUUUCAUCCUGACACCCCCCCCCAAAAGUACUUAAAAUGUCCCCCCCCCCCCCGGCUACCUCCGCUACCCCUGCCGUCCUAGCGGAGACGACAUUCCCACUCGACCUGUAUAGAUUUUAUAGCCUUAGUCUACCAAUCGCACUCCCAUUACAUAUUUAUAAUGAUUUUAUGCGUACAUUUUAUUCUUCGUGAGAAUAUCAUCUCCGAGGGUGGAGGAGGGCGCUGGGGGUGGGGGGGGACGUGUAGAUUACUAAUCAAGCUCGCAUGUAUAUUAUCCGGGUGGUCGGCCCGUGGCCCACCGAGCCCGACACCACCAUCAGUGUUAACGAGUCGUCGAAGGCCGAGCGGCGCCCAUCUCUGUGCCCGUAACCUCCGGGAUGCUACACUGCUGGGCGGGAGGAAUUCUGGCGAGAUCAAAGCCACCGACUCUGUGUGUCCCCGGGGGGGGAGCUCACGCCGUGCCCGCUCAGCAGUAUUGCAUUGGGGACACGCGGGAUUGAGACGCGGGCAGUUUACAGGACUCUCGAACGCGAGCUCUUGAUUUGCUGCGUCAUUGUCAGUAUUACAACCUUCAGCAUUCACGUUUGUGUUGGCACUCGCGCAGCAGAUUUUCACUCACUACGUUUUGAACGCUACAGUAUAUCAUUUUUACGUACGUGGCGCUGCGUGCGCAUGCGCGUGCAUGCGUGUGUGUGCGCUUGUGCGUGUGUGUACAUAUACAUUGUAACGGUAUUAUUCCUUCGAAGGUCACGCAGCCUCGCUGUUGGUGUGUAUCGAGGAGUCGUCGCGUUCUAAAGUUGCGUUAAGGCCGAGAGCGUGGUUGCGGGAAAAUUCUUCUGGCGCUCGCCUCAAUGGCACUUUGCUGCUGCCGUGGGGGUCGCUCGCCAGAGUUGACGCGGCGCAGGCGUCGCGCGCGUCUGUGCACAGACGCGCGCGACUGAUGUUGUGCAGAAUUUGGUCUGCUGCUUUUAUCUCGGCUCGCUGAAAACACCUACUCCAUCAUCAUCCAGGGAGGUCCGGACUGGAUACCACGGUGCAGCGUUUGUGGCUGCGUGAGCCACGGUCCUGAACCUUGACCAUUUUCCCUCUCGGCAUCAGAAGGGAGGGAGCCAGACGCCAAACUGAACAGCAAAGCAGUCGUCAAAUACUCGUCUGCAGCUUUUAACAGCUCGCCAUUGCGGGCUUGAAAGGGGGCACCGUAGGUUGACAUCCACCACCGCUGCAGUGCACGAACAGAAGUCGGCGCCAUCAUACAGAUGGCAAGCCGAUGGUUCGGUGCCCGGACCACACCCACGAUAGGUUCCUCUAGGUAUCAAAGGCAUGGCCUCACAUUCACUCUUCUUCCAUUGCGUAGUCCAGUACACGUUUUUUUCUCAGACCCGGCGCGCACCCAAGAUGGCGUCUAAUGUGUCGAUGGCGGAACAGUUGUGUAGGUGAUUACAAACCCGUUGGCUCAGUACCAUGUUUGUUGAGCUGAUCUGGCUCAUUUUCUCAAAUCACUAUCACCCAAGUGCGAGUCUCGUGACCGACUUGGGCAAUUAAGUCCUCAAAUAAGAUAACUCAUGGCGCCACACCUGGUAGAGGAGACCAUGGAAGGCAUCUGACUCACCAGCCUUGCCAAAUAAUUUUAACGGAAUCUAGAUCUCUACAUUAUUGACAUGCUCAAGGCCUAUGAUACCAUUACAAAAAAACGAAUGCUUUAGUUUAUUGGUGCUUUCCAGGUCCCUGAUCUUCUGCUUGUGAUCAUUAAGGCCCUUCAUUAAGGUGGGUAGGCCCAGCUAUAGCUGUGUGGUCUGGAGUGGGAGCCAUACCCUGUUUGCCUUGCGGUGUGAUAGGGAUGACCUCUGGCCCGUACGCUAUUUCACUUUUUCAGCACGUAGUUGGAGUAGCUUUCCAUGGCAGUCGCAGUGGAAUUUAUAUCCGGUACAUUUGCAGUGGGAGGCUAGUUGAUGCCGGGCGAUAUCUAGAGACGUCUCCCAAACUGAUAAAACAUCUUAGAUAUGCGGUUGUUUAGAAUAUGCUGUUUAGAUAUGCUGUUGCUCACUCCGAGAAAAAAUUAUAGACUUUUUUGCUUGGUAUAGAGGAUAUCACAAAGAGAUGGGGCCUUAGGAUCACCCCUACCAAAGCAAAACGCCCGGGUGCUUGUAGAGAGGGUGGAGGUGUUCGCUUAACUGGGCAAUGUUGCUCGUGGCCAGCUCUGGUUUGGCAGUGGAAGUUUCAGGAGAGCGGCGUUAUCCUUUCAUUGGCUUCGUCAUGUCCUGUGGAACUCUCACUCAGUAUGAAAGAGCAUGCCUUGGGUACAUCACGUACUCGGGGGGGUGGGGGGAGGGGUUGAUGUGGUAUCGGAAACUUGCCGAUAACUGGUACCAGCGGUGUCAAGAACGACUUCUGUGGAAGAGGCUCAUGAAGGACGCUGCUGGGCAGGUGGAGGCAGUCGCCCUCCAUCAAGAAUGGAGGGUGACGUUGCGACGCUCACAACAACGAGCGGAGCACCGAGUGGCCUAUCGAGCGAGUUAGCACUGUAGAGAGCACAGGUGGUGCAUCUGUCGGGCAUUUCAGUCAACCCAUGGCACCUGGGUCCAUCCCAUCACCACCUGCCAGCGACGCUUUUGACACUACAUAUAGUUUCAGAUUACACCUAGCCUGGCACAAAUUCCUUGCUGAUAUCACCACCACUUCGUGGAGAAUGGUAGCUGAUGUUGAUGUCCCAUCACCUGGGUUUGCUGCUCAGAACAAAGAAAAGCGAUAGCUUAGGAGAGGAGCUCACAAAUAAUUUCUAGACAGAGCCCCCUCCCUCCUGCCCAGAGAUGUCCGUGGGUAUCUCUGCGAAGAGGAGGAGACGACUUCUCUUCUCCCUCUGUAUUCUUGAGCUCUCCCAGUCUCUUAUUCUCGCAUCUCUCUCCAGGUUCCUCCCACCGCUUCCUCAUCAGCAGCUGCUUCUCGUAGCUCUUCCCCCACCUCCUCCCAGCUUCUUGGCUGUGACCGAGCUACCCCUGUGCCCUCUUUUUCUUCUGCCACCUCACGCAUCUGUCCUUCGCCCCAUAUCUCGCUGCUUCGGCUGCUCCUCCUCCUCGUACCCUGGUCCCAGCAGCUGUUGUCCAAGCAGCAGCAGCAGCAGCAGCAAGCAAGGUGAUGAUGAACAGUUCGCAGCUCCUUCGCUACCAUCAAGACCCCCGUCACACCGAGGGUGCCGGCUCUCAUCCCCCCGCCGCCACCGAAGUGGCCGUGAUUUCUAAGCGCACUGCACGUGAGACCUAGAAGACCAAACCGCGACUUUGCGUUAUCGUCGGAGGCUCCCUCCUCAUACACGGUGUUUUUGAAGGCGCCAUCGGGCGGAUCCCAUCGUCCGUGCUACCUCCAUGCUGUGCGUUCGACUGAUCCGGCCAAGUGACAGCCGAAAGGGAGACCAAGGAGGCCUUGCUGAUUGAGCGGAAGAAGCUGGGUGCUGAGCGACCGAGCGCUUCGCUUUGGGAGCAAGGCCACACGUAUCUGUUCUCUUUGGUGUUUUGUUAUUUUUGAUAGUUGCUGAGCAAAAGGUCCGAAACGGCAUUCGGCUGGCAACAAACAGCUCUUAUCAAGGUUGGAAUGGAUGAGGUUUAACACUUGUCUCAACUGGGCAAGGUUGUUGUUUAUGCUUGGGGGCGAUAGACGGCGAUGGGAGGGAAUUCCAAAGUGAAGCGGCGCGAGGGGAGAAGUAGAAAGAGAAGUGAUGAGUAAGUGUGAGUGAGUGAGUAGGUGUGAGUGAGUGGGUGUGAGUGGCUGAGUGUGAGUUGGUGAGUGGGUGAGAGUGAGUGUGUGAGCGGGUGAGUGAGUGUGUUUGCGAGUGAGUGGAUUGCUGUGUGGCAAGUGGGUGGGUGAGUGAGUGAGUAAAUGGGUUGUAUACAGUUUAUGUUGAACUUUCGCACCGUACGGAGCCAAUCGUGUUAAUCGGAGGUGUGGGUAGGACAACGAUGCUAAUCACGAGUGAGUUGCUGUUUGUUGCAGUGUGUCGAGUGAAUGGGUGAGAAGGUUGCUGUAACCUGCAGGGUGGUCUCUGUGGGGGGGGGGGGGGGGGGUAAAUGAAUGGAUUGCUGUGAGCUGCAGUGUGGUGAGUGAGUGAGUGGAUUGCUGCUGUGACCUGCAGUGUGGUGGUGGUGGUGGAGGAGCUGGUGGAACACGGUAUUCCAAGUGUAGAGUAUUUGUAUCAGAAGCUGCCAUGCGUCUUCCCGCCGGUGUAAUGUUAGGGUGUGUUGCAUAUAUCAGAACUGUACUUAUAAGGUGUGUAUAUAAUCGGCUUCUACUGUGAUGGGGGAAGAUUGACAUAUUGGCUCAUGGCCCACGCAAAAUAAGGACGCGUGGAUAUCAGCGAAUGUGUCCCGCGCUGUGUUCAUCAGUAGGGGCUGAUCCACGCGGCAUUGCGCAUGCUGAUUUAAACCGAGUAAGCGAGCCAACCAUGUUAUACUGAUAUGGCUUUCCUCCUGCAAUAAACGUUUGGCUUUAUUUGGGAGGAAAACCGGGACGUGACGUGAUAACCCACGUGUAUGAGGGCACAACACUUUAAAUACAUAACCUUUGCAGUUGUUUUUGCUUGUUAACAAUUCAUCAGUGUGCCGCAAAUCUCGUGGACACACCGCGCCUCUGAAAUACCCGUGGGGUUCAACAGCGGUCUCUGCGAUGCAGGCACGAAGCAGGCUCGGAGGGGCUUAGCUUCUGUGUUGAGGUCGGCGUGUCGAGGGGUUGAUUUGGGGUCGCGGCCCGCUCGGACACCCCUUACGGAUUCCCAGGGCCGCGUGUCCCCUACCCAUGGGGUCCGCGCCCAGUGAGUUAUUUUACAGGUUUCCGUUUCUCCACGCGGAGACUUUCAAUUUACUCUCGAGAGCGCUGCGGCGAAUCCCACUCGCAGUGGUGUCGUUUGAGAAAGAAAGAACGAAGCAAAUAAAUAUCGCAGCACA